rnacentral:rRNA from 1 species
AUUUAACGCGGCGGAAUGCUUUACACAUGCAAGUCGAACGGCAGCACGGAGAGCUUGCUCUCUGGUGGCGAGUGGCGAACGGGUGAGUAAUAUAUCGGAACGUAUCCAAUAAUGGGGGAUAACGAGUCGAAAGAUUCGCUAAUACCGCAUACGCCCUACGGGGGAAAGCAGGGGAUCGUAAGACCUUGCGUUAAUGGAGCGGCCGAUAUCUGAUUAGCUUGUUGGUGAGGUAAAGGCUCACCAAGGCGACGAUCAGUAGCUGGUUUGAGAGAACGACCAGCCACACUGGAACUGAGACACGGUCCAGACUCCUACGGGAGGCAGCAGUGGGGAAUUUUGGACAAUGGGGGCAACCCUGAUCCAGCCAUUCCGCGUGAGUGAAGAAGGCCUUCGGGUUGUAAAGCUCUUUCGCAAGGGAAGAAAACUUAUGAUCGAAUAAAUCAUGAGGUUGACGGUACCUUGAUAAGAAGCACCGGCUAACUACGUGCCAGCAGCCGCGGUAAUACGUAGGGUGCGAGCGUUAAUCGGAAUUACUGGGCGUAAAGCGUGCGCAGGCGGUUUUGUAAGUCGGAUGUGAAAUCCCCGGGCUCAACCUGGGAACUGCGUUCGAAACUGCAAGGCUAGAGUGUGUCAGAGGGGGGUAGAAUUCCACGUGUAGCAGUGAAAUGCGUAGAGAUGUGGAGGAAUACCAAUGGCGAAGGCAGCCCCCUGGGAUAACAC